UGGGUAGGUUGGUGGCUUUGUCAGUGGUGAUGGAUGAUACUGACUUAACUGCAUUUGCAUUUUAUCUGGAAUCAACAUAUAUUACACACAGUGAAUUUCAUAUUUAGCAAACAAAAUUACUGGAAUCCAUAUCCUUCCAAGAGGAUGCCUUUAUUCCAUUGAAAGGCCUUUGAUAAAAGGAACUGAAAGGCUUUUCCCUGCCUUCUACUGUAUCAAACUUGAUCACCUCCAAUUUUCCAGGCACUGCUUGAUCCCUACGAGUUAUAUGACUUCUCUGUAAAUUUGACGUUGUAGGAAUCCAUAAUUCACAGGACACUGGAUAGUCAUAGAUAAAUCUGUGGAUAUUAAAUGUGAGCGUACAAACAGGUUUUUAAAAGAAAUAAUUCAUAUAAGUAAUAAGACAUUAAAGUAAGUUUAUUUAGGUACAAGUACACAUUAGUACAAUUAUCAAACAUAGUGUAAAUUACUCGCCAGGAAAACCCAAAAAAGUUGGACACUUCACUAUGUACUUAAAAUAUGUAGAUGUAGGACCCCUAUUGGUUUGCUGCUUAUCUGUGAAUAUAAUAAUAGUUGAAGCUAUGAAGAAGUUCAUUCAGUAAUGCUAGUCAUUGGCAGGAGUGUGCAAGUGCAGUGAGUUGCAAGAUCUUGAGGUGGUCUUUCCAUCACGUGGUAUAUAAAAACAAGACACAGGAGGGACGUGCCUUUAGUCUCUCGUCAACACUGCUCUUAAGAAGGUGUUGUGUGCAUCAGUGCCAGACUGCUAGACAAAUAGGAAUUCCAAAAUUCAAAAUGCGUUACUCCCUGCUGGUAUUUUUGAUGAUUGUAGUGGCUGUUGCUUCUGCUGGUAUCCUCCCAGGAUCUGGUUUUGGAAUGCCACCUGGAGUGCCCAGUGAAUAAAAUCUCAGUGUUGACCCUCAGUGCUCAAGACAUAUAACAUACAACUAUAUUGACAUGUAGUACUGAAGGUCUGCACGGCACCAUGGUGUCCAAGCUGUAUAUCGUCCCUGACUUCUGUAAUCUUUGUCAUACAGAUUAAGGCUUCACUCCUCUUAAACAUGUAUCUAACUGUAAGCUUUGGGAAAAUAAUGAGAAAUUACAAAGUGUAAUCCUUACUGUUUUAUUCGUCAGUCAUUUCGUAUCACUAAAAUUGAAAAUCUAUUUAGCAUGCCUUCAAGUGUUACUGUCUCAGCACCUGUGCCAGAACUCCACUUACAUAAUUGUAAAAUUGUGAGACAUACUUCUUAAAAGAAAGAAAAGAUUUAAUAUGUUCAAGAUAAUUAUAAAUUAUAAAUUUAGUGAAAGUAAUUUUACAUUGUUUAAGUAACUGCCAUGUACUACACACCAAGAAGUCUAGAUAGUUUUGUUAAAGUAUAGGAAGGAAGUUUAGAAUGCCUGGUGUAAAUAGCAGUGGGAGACUUUCUUAUACAUAUUUAGAAAAAAAAUUUACGAUAGGUAAGAGAGUACAGUACUACAUGUUUAAAGUAAAAGAUGACUUAGUGCUUUAAAUGAGGUAAUGAUGUGUCUCAAUAAUCAAUCUUUUGGACUAUGGACUGAUAGAUAAAGGUUGAAGAGGUUAUCAUACGGAUGUGCAUGAUAGAGUGUACAUUUUUGUUAGAAGAGCAACUGAUAUGUAAGAUAAGAAGGCUGUCAGGAGGUAAAGAAGAGUAAAAAUGCAUAAAAACUAAAAAAAUAAAUGAACGAAAAUGCUGAA